GGGCCCGGCUCAGCACGUACCUGCGGAGAAGCCCGGAGCACCAGCACCUGGCAAACCUGCCUGCCAACCCCGCCAUAGCCCCCCGAGUAUAAGAGCGGGACUGCCUGGCAGGGCGCCGGGCGUGACACCAUAGGAAGGUGGAGGGCCUGCAGUUCCGAGUGGAAGAGGAGUCCAUCACCAAGGGAGACCUGGAGGGGAUGUUUCCUCUCCACACUUAUGUGCAGGAGUGUCCAUCUGCCUGUUAAGGGCUCUGCCCACUCCUGGCCCAGGGGAGCACGUGGAACUCAGGCUGGGCCCCUGGACACUCAUCUCAGGACCUGGAACCUGGCGUGCCUCAAGGAGGGGCAGGAAAUACUAGGAGCUCUUCCCCAGCUCUGAAGCGCUGACUGAUGCUCAGUAAGUCCUGGCUGGACCCCUGGGCCCUGCGUCUGCUCUGCCCUCGUCUUUCCCAAUCUGUCUUCAGAUUGUCCCUAAUGUGGCCUACUUUUGCUGGCAUUGGCCAGAGUCAGAUUCUGGGCUUGCAACUGUCAACUACAAAGCAGCAUGUACCAAGAGCAUUGCCAACGACUGAACCAGAUUAUACAGUGGAAGUAAGAAAUAGAUUUAAGGGCCUAGAUCUGAUAGAUAGAGUGCCUGAUGAACU